rnacentral:rRNA from 1 species
CGCGGCCUAUCAGCUUGUUGGUGGGGUAACGGCCUACCAAGGCAACGACGGGUAGCUGGUCUGAGAGGACGAUCAGCCACACUGGGACUGAGACACGGCCCAGACUCCUACGGGAGGCAGCAGUGGGGAAUCUUGCGCAAUGGGGGAAACCCUGACGCAGCGACGCCGCGUGCGGGAUGAAGGCCUUCGGGUCGUAAACCGCUUUCAGCAGGGACGAACAUGACGGUACCUGCAGAAGAAGCCCCGGCCAACUACGUGCCAGCAGCCGCGGUAAUACGUAGGGGGCAAGCGUUGUCCGGAUUUAUUGGGCGUAAAGAGCUCGUAGGCGGUUUGGUAAGUCGGGUGUGAAAUCUCCACGCUCAACGUGGAGGGGCCACUCGAUACUGCUAUGACUUGAGUCCGGUAGGGGAGUGUGGAAUUCCCGGUGUAGCGGUGAAAUGCGCAGAUAUCGGGAGGAACACCCGUAGCGAAGGCGACACUCUGGGCCGGUACUGACGCUGAGGAGCGAAAGCGUGGGGAGCGAACAGGAUUAGAUACCCUGGUAGUCCACGCCGUAAACGUUGGGCACUAGGUGUGGGACUCUAUCGACGGGUUCCGUGCCGUAGCUAACGCAUUAAGUGCCCCGCCUGGGGAGUACGG